rnacentral:rRNA from 1 species
AGAGCGAACGCUGGCGGCAGGCCUAACACAUGCAAGUCGAGCGCCCCGCAAGGGGAGCGGCAGACGGGGGAGUAACACGUGGGAACGUACCCUUUGGUUCGGAACAACACAGGGAAACUUGUGCUAAUACCGGAUAAGCCCUUACGGGGAAAGAUUUAUUGCCAAAGGAUCGGCCCGCGUCUGAUUAGCUUGUUGGUGAGGUAACGGCUCACCAAGGCUACGAUCAGUAGCUGGUCUGAGAGGAUGAUCAGCCUCACUGGGACUGAGACACGGCCCAGACUCCUACGGGAGGCAGCAGUGGGGAAUAUUGGACAAUGGGCGCAAGCCUGAUCCAGCCAUGCCGCGUGGAUGAUGAAGGCCCUAGGGUUGUAAAGUCCUUUCGACGGGGAAGAUAAUGACGGUACCCGUAGAACGAAGCCCCGGCUAACUUCGUGCCAGCAGCCGC